AUGAUAAAUUUUGACACUUCCAAAUACAAUUCCGGAUGUAUAGUACUCCCUCCGCCCCAAAAUAACUGUCUCAACUUUGUACUAGCUUUAGUACAAAAUUGUACUAAGCUUGAGACACUUAUUUUAGGAUGGAGGGAGUACAUAGUAAGCAGUAAAAUACAAGGUCAAACAACUUGUACACAUCAGAAAACUGCAUGCCAAGCAUAUAUUGCAUGUUUAUACUCCCUCCGUCCGAAAAAGCUUGUGCCUCAAAAGAUAGCAUCAUGCAAGACCAUACAGAUAAACAAAAUUUCUCAUGCCAUUUGA
rnacentral:rRNA from 1 species